rnacentral:rRNA from 1 species
CCUACGGGGGGCUGCAGUGGGGAAUAUUGGACAAUGGGGGGAACCCUGAUCCAGCCAUGCCGCGUGUGUGAAGAAGGCCCUCGGGUUGUAAAGCACUUUCAGUGAGGAAGAACGCCUGGUGGUUAAUACCCAUCAGGAAGGACAUCACUCACAGAAGAAGCACCGGCUAACUCCGUGCCAGCAGCCGCGGUAAUACGGAGGGUGCGAGCGUUAAUCGGAAUUACUGGGCGUAAAGCGCGCGUAGGUGGCUUGAUAAGCCGGUUGUGAAAGCCCCGGGCUCAACCUGGGAACGGCAUCCGGAACUGUCAAGCUAGAGUGCAGGAGAGGAAGGUAGAAUUCCCGGUGUAGCGGUGAAAUGCGUAGAGAUCGGGAGGAAUACCAGUGGCGAAGGCGGCCUUCUGGACUGACACUGACACUGAGGUGCGAAAGCGUGGGUAGCAAACAGGAUUAGAUACCCUAGUAGUC